CCUCCGCCCGAGCCAUCGUCUCCCCCGCUCCCCCCGAGCCACACGCACGCCCAUUCCCCUCCCCUCCAAACCUAGCCGCCCCGCUCCCCUCCCUCUCCACGGCGCCGCCGCCUCCUCCCCUUCUGCCCUGCUCUCCACCGCGCCGCCUCUUCCUCCCCUUCACUAUUCUCUCCAGCGACGGCAAAGAUCUGGCGGCAAAGGGAGAGACGACGAGGGCGCUCGAUCCGAUCUGCUGAAGAGAAAAGAUGAGAGGGAGAGAGAUCACCGGAAGGAGUGCCGCCGGCUCGUCGUCUUUCAUACCUACACACGCAACUGCCGGCUGCAGGGGUGUUGAGAGGAGUUAGAGGUCGUGCGCCGGCCGGAGCAGCAGGAGCAAGGAUAUGGCCGCCUCUCUUCUCUGCCACGGUUCCCUCCUCUUCCUUCAGCUCUCGAGAUGUCGACCUGCAGGUUUAGGCAAACCAUUGUUUGACAACAAAUAUGCGGAGGCGUUUUUAUGGAUGUGCAUUUCACCUGAAUCUGGAGAGCUAUUCAAUCUGUCGCGGACAUUUUUGGUGGAAUUCAGUGCUUCAGCAGCUUGGGAGCAAGUAGAAAUACCUGAUUUGAUGCUCAUGCUUCCAAAAUUUUCACAUUUCGCGAGAGCUAGGCGUACUUCUUGAUGACCUUGCCGUCUCCAACCCAUCCGAUUAUUAUGGAUUUUCUGAAGGUGGUGGUGGGGGUUGCACGGCAUGUUCCAUCUGGUUUCAGGAGUGUGUGCUGCACCUGAAAAAAUUUCUCGGGUUGUCUCUCUUCGUAUUUCCACCUUAGUUGUGAUAUUUUAUUUAUUGCUAAUCAUUUGAGUUAGUGUACAAUCAUAUAUUUGUCAUCCAUGGCUCCUUAGAGAGCUGGACAUGCUUGGUUGGAGUCGUCGUCGUCCUGGUUGGGGAGAUGAGCAUGCUUAUGCUUAUAUUACAAAGAUUAGUGUGUAGUCCUUCUAUGCCUUCUAAUUAGAUAGUUUGGCUUGAUUUUAGAUGCUUACAAUCUCUUGUCAUAGAAUUUUAUAAUUGCUUCUCAUGGAAAGCAGCCCUCUCCCAAGCUGACGGACUUGGUUUGUUUUUCAAUGUAGGCAUGAGGUCUCCGAGUCGUUUAAAUCUGAACGCAACACCAAGGCUGCUAGCCUGAGCAUUGCCGAACAAUACAUCAAAGCAUAGCUAAACUUGAUAAAAGCAAACAUGGAAGCCCUCCCUAAUUCAUCAAUUUACAAAGAUCAUAGCAGCAUGGCCUCGAUCUGGAGAAGGGGAGCAGCCACCGGCCGAUUCCAGCCCACUCCGGCGGUCCCAGCGGCCAUCCAGCACCUUCCUGUGCUCUCUACCAUCUCCAUUGCGCUAACUCGACCUGCAGGUCCUCAACAUCAUCCGCAACUAGCCCUAGCCGCUCGGACUGCUGGUAUGCGGUGUCACCAUGGACGCCGGCGCGGCGCCUGCACCUCUGACUGUUUCCUCCGCGUUGCCUAUGGGGCAUCCACCUCCUUGUACGCCCCUCUCACCCAGGCGCACCUCUUGGGGUCGUUGGCGCUUGUGAUUUCCCCGUGCGAGAUGGUGGCAACAGAGGGACUCUUUGGUGCCGGAGAGCUCGGGAUUCAUCACCCCUAACUGAAUCAACCCUGCUAUCACAGCCUCUGCAUGUUUAUGGCCUCUCAGCUUCGUGCUUAUGGUGCGGCUGCGUGGAAGCCGACGACAAGUACGGCCGCUCUCUACUUGCCUCUAAUAUGUAUGUCUUAACUCCCUCGAGAAAAGGAGUCUUUGCAAGAUGGCGGUGAUGCAGACCAGGAACGCAUCGGACAUGGACGCUCUGCGGAAACUCGGCUCUGCCAGCGCCACCUCGGUGAGGAGGAAGACGCUCUGCGACAUCACCAACCUGAGGCGGCCGCUGGCGGCGGCAGGACGGGUUGAGGUACGCGGACGGCAUGGAUGGGAUCACUUGGUUGGUCAAGGCAAGAUUUGCUGACCCGACUCCACCGCCGUCUCUUUCUUGGUUAUGACUAUGAUGUGUUGCGGUCGCUAGCGCUGCUCUUUUUUUCUUGAAUCUAUGUGUGUGUAAAUGCAAGAGAAUUCGGAUCUUGUGAAGCUCCUGGAGGAGAGAGUAUUUUCCUUCAUCGAUUGUUCUCUUUUGUCUAGGAUGGAUAGGGCUUCUUGAUGUGUGGUUGUUCUGGUGUUUGACUCUAUUUGGAUUGAUUUGCAUAGUAUACAUCACGGCUCCAUAGUAGACAUCCAUGUUUAAAACUAAGAUCAGAUAUUUGAAUUGUCAGACUCUUUUGCUCAUUGUCAGACCAUGACUACGGCUUCCUAUUAAAGUUGUGUGGAAUGCUACUAAAAAGUGGACAAAAUUAUGCUUCAAAUGUAUUCUUUAUUCUCCUAGCCCCUUCAAGGCUUCUGGCUAAUGUUCGCCGAUGUGCUCCUGAAAGUUGCAAGAUGGCACUAUAUGGGGACAACCAUCAGUCAUCGCUCAGUCUCAAGAUCGCCAUGUACCUGAGCUGUUCUGCUGAAUAAUAUCUUGCAUAGUUUAUAUUGUCCUGUUUCCAUCUACAUAUAGGAAUACAUAUGUGGCAAGCACAUCCAGUCCUGAUACACUUGCAAUUUCUUACUAAUGGCCUGUGAAGUUAUGUCCUAUAAUAAUCAGUCUCACUAUAUUAAGACACAUGCAUCACUGCUAAACAUCCCAACUGAAACCACAGGCAGAUAAGUCAGCUUAAUUAUUCUACUACUUUCUAGAUGACAACAGUUAAACAAGAGGAGGCAGACACAGCCAGUGAUAUCAACGGUGGCCAAAUUACCCAUGCACAACAAGCCAUUCGAGUAUAUUCAUCGCCCACGCAAAGCAAGCUCAAUCCAAAAGUUCAAAGGCAAGAAAAUCCACUGGAAAGUACAUUCUCCGUGGUAAGCUUGGCAUCCACCACUUAGAUGAGUUUAGUCACCACAUUGUGUGUGGCAACAUAGUUAAGCUCUACAACCAUAAUGUUCAUAGACUGCGAAAGAUAAUCCACAGUACCACCACGCCUGAUCGCUACUAUGUGUGCCACAUGACAAAAACAUUUGCAACAGACGGCAAAAGAAUGUACUUUAGGGUUUCCUUUUCUACGGGUUCCCUUUUCCCACACAUGAAUGCUGAACAUGGUGAACUCUACUGGAGACGGAACUAUCGCUGUUACAGCCCGCUUUAUCAAGGGUGUUGACAAAAGGGCCACCAUCACUAGAGGCUGGAGCCACUUCUUCCGUCAGGCACAGAUGAACAAAGGGCAAGCAUAUGCUUUCGCCUUCAAAAGCACUUCCAAAGGACUGCGCCUGAUCGUCUACUAAAUAUAAGCAAGUUGCAAGAGCCCUUUGUUAUAUAACUUAGCAUUAGUAUAGAUGCCUACCAAGAAUUCUAUGUUUAUCAUCCUUUUGAAUCUUAUGUAAUCCCCUAAGACCAUCCUGUGCAUUUAACUGUCGGUUAUUUGCUGCUUAGACUGCUGUGUGGUAUGCUUCUGAAAUAGCCAUCAUAUAUUUAUCAUUGAUCCAUACUUGUUUCCAUAUGUUUCAUUUUGUUUUUACAUAUUUUAAUGCACAUUCUUUCAAUA